CAAAGAAUAGUUUAAUAAAAAUAAUAAUUUUGGAGAUAAUAGAUAAAGAAAUUCUUUUUCUUUGA
rnacentral:tRNA from 1 species